rnacentral:rRNA from 1 species
CCUACGGGAGGCAGCAGUGAGGACUAUUGGUCAAUGGCCGGAAGGCUGAACCAGCCAAGCCGCGUGAAGGACGAAGGUGCCAAGCAUUGUAAACUUCUUUUGUCAAGGGACAAAAUCAGGCUCGAGAGCCUGACCGAGGGUACUUGAAGAAAAAGCAUCGGCUAACUCCGUGCCAGCAGCCGCGGUAAUACGGAGGAUGCGAGGGUUAUCCGGAUUUAUUGGGUUUAAAGGGUGCUUAGGGGGACUGUUAAGUCAGCGGUAAAAGCCCGGGGCUAAGCCCCGGCGAGCCGUUGAAACUGGCGGUCUUGAAAUGGCGUGAGGUAUGAGGAAUGCGCGGUGUAGCGGUGAAAUGCUUAGAUAUUGCGCAGAACUCCGAUUGCGAAGGCAGCAUACCGGCGGCGAACUGACGCUGAGGCACGAAAGCGUGGGUAUCGAACAGGAUUAGAUACCCCAGUAGUC